rnacentral:rRNA from 1 species
UGGGGAAUUUUGGACAAUGGGGGAAACCCUGAUCCAGCCAUGCCGCGUGAGUGAAGAAGGCCUUCGGGUUGUAAAGCUCUUUCAGCCGGAACGAAAAGGUUACGGUGAAUACCCGUGACUAAUGACGGUACGGGAAGAAGAAGCACCGGCUAACUACGUGCCAGCAGCCGCGGUAAUACGUAGGGUGCGAGCGUUAAUCGGAAUUACUGGGCGUAAAGCGUGCGCAGGCGGUUUUGUAAGUCAGAUGUGAAAUCCCCGGGCUCAACCUGGGAACUGCGUUUGAAACUACAAGGCUAGAGUGUGGCAGAGGGGGGUGGAAUUCCACGUGUAGCAGUGAAAUGCGUAGAGAUGUGGAGGAACACCGAUGGCGAAGGCAGCCCCCUGGGUUAACACUGACGCUCAGGCACGAAAGCGUGGGGAGCAAACAGG